GUAAAAUGAAGUGGACAGGGUUAACUGAACAAACUAGUGAUAAGCUUCUGAUAAAUCAUUUACACUAAAUUUCUAAUCUGCAACCAACAGACUUUUUGGCUGCUACGUUCCUAGUAUUUGACUUGUCAGGACAAUAAUGAUGUUUAUCUUAUGUUCCAGGUCAUCUUCCUCAACCUGGCGCCGGUGCACCCGCAGAUCUGCUUAGGUAAAGGUGUUGCCGGCGCCCCUCCUGUCGCAGCAAGAUGAUUUAUUUAUGCCUCCCUCCACGUUGGUGCAUUUGAUGAUUCACUGCAUGAUACAUGCAAAUGUACAGCUGCCUCCUUCAACUGGUACGACUCCUACAUCACCGUGUCUCCCAUCUGUGAGCCACAGAAGCUCAGCGAGGAUUCUUUGCUGAAAGGAAGAGUUACCCAUCCAUGGUGAUGAGGCAUAAGAGUUGUUGCCUCUGCAUUUCUUUUGCCCGCUGCCUUAUAACUAGAUCAGGAUAUUGAAAAGGAGGAGUAGAUGCAUGGCAGCCAAUUAAGGUAUCAGCUGUUAUGUAUUAGUUGGCCAUAUAAAAAUUUGCAGAUUCUUGUGGUGGUAGCGGGGUGAGGAGGCGCCUCCUUUCGGAGGUGUGCAACAUCAAAUUUUGAUUCCUCUAUCUGUUUAUCUUGUUUGUUUGGUGGCUGCAAGGGAAGAUAAAUUGGAUGGUUAUGUUGCUGCCUAGGAAUAGGAUGGAUGAAUCCUCCUUGUAGUGUUUUGAGUGGUAAUCC